UACGUAGGGGGCAAGCGUUGUCCGGAUUUAUUGGGCGUAAAGAGCGUGUAGGCGGCCAGAUAGGUCCGUUGUGAAAACUGGAGGCUUAACCUCCAGCUGUCGAUGGAAACCAUCUGGCUAGAGUCCGGAAGAGGAGAGUGGAAUUCCUGGUGUAGCGGUGAAAUGCGCAGAUAUCAGGAAGAACACCCGUGGCGAAGGCGGCUCUCUGGGACGGUACUGACGCUGAUGUGCGAAAGCGUGGGGAGCAAACAGG
rnacentral:rRNA from 1 species